CCUACGGGUGGCAGCAGUGAGGAAUAUUGGUCAAUGGACGCAAGUCUGAACCAGCCAUGCCGCGUGCAGGAAGACGGCUCUAUGAGUUGUAAACUGCUUUUGUACGAGGGUAAACGCAGAUACGCGUAUCUGUCUGAAAGUAUCGUACGAAUAAGGAUCGGCUAACUCCGUGCCAGCAGCCGCGGUAAUACGGAGUAUGCAAGCGUUAUCCGGAUUUAUUGGGUUUAAAGGGUGCGUAGGCGGUCGGGUAAGUUAGAGGUGAAAUCCCGAGGCUCAACUUCGGAAUUGCCUCUGAUACUGUUCGGCUAGAGAGUAGGAGCGGUAGGCGGAAUGUAUGGUGUAGCGGUGAAAUGCGUAGAGAUCAGACAGAACACCAGUGGCGAAGGCGGCUUACCGGGCU
rnacentral:rRNA from 1 species